AACGAACGCUGGCGGCGUGCCUAACACAUGCAAGUCGAACGGUAACAGGUCUUCGGAUGCUGACGAGUGGCGAACGGGUGAGUAAUACAUCGGAACGUGCCCGAGAGUGGGGGAUAACGAGGCGAAAGCUUUGCUAAUACCGCAUACGAUCUCAGGAUGAAAGCAGGGGACCGCAAGGCCUUGCGCUCACGGAGCGGCCGAUGGCAGAUUAGGUAGUUGGUGGGAUAAAAGCUUACCAAGCCGACGAUCUGUAGCUGGUCUGAGAGGACGACCAGCCACACUGGGACUGAGACACGGCCCAGACUCCUACGGGAGGCAGCAGUGGGGAAUUUUGGACAAUGGGCGCAAGCCUGAUCCAGCCAUGCCGCGUGCAGGAUGAAGGCCUUCGGGUUGUAAACUGCUUUUGUACGGAACGAAAAGACUCUGGUUAAUACCUGGGGUCCAUGACGGUACCGUAAGAAUAAGCACCGGCUAACUACGUGCCAGCCGCCGCGGUAAUAC
rnacentral:rRNA from 1 species